rnacentral:rRNA from 1 species
AGAGCGAACGCUGGCGGCAGGCCUAACACAUGCAAGUCGAGCGCCCGUAGCAAUACGGGAGCGGCAGACGGGAGAGUAACACGUGGGAACGCGCCCUUCGGUUCGGAAUAACUCAGGGAAACUUGAGCUAAUACCGGAUACGCCCUUACGGGGAAAGAUUUAUUGCCGAAGGAACGGCCCGCGUCCGAUUAGCUAGUUGGUGAGGUAAUGGCUCACCAAGGCGACGAUCGGUAGCUGGUCUGAGAGGAUGACCAGCCUCACUGGGACUGGGACACGGCCCAGACUCCUACGGGAGGCAGCAGUGGGGAAUAUUGGACAAUGGGCGCAAGCCUGAUCCAGCCAUGCCGCGUGAGUGAUGAAGGCCUUAGGGUUGUAAAGCUCUUUUAGCAGGGAAGAUAAUGACGGUACCUGCAGAAAAGCCCCGGCUAACUUCGUGCCAGCAGCCGC